rnacentral:rRNA from 1 species
AGUGAACGCUGGCGGUAGGCCUAACACAUGCAAGUCGAACGGCAGCACAGUAAGAGCUUGCUCUUACGGGUGGCGAGUGGCGGACGGGUGAGGAAUACAUCGGAAUCUACUUUUUCGUGGGGGAUAACGUAGGGAAACUUACGCUAAUACCGCAUACGACCUACGGGUGAAAGCAGGGGAUCUUCGGACCUUGCGCGAUUGAAUGAGCCGAUGUCGGAUUAGCUAGUUGGCGGGGUAGAGGCCCACCAAGGCGACGAUCCGUAGCUGGUCUGAGAGGAUGAUCAGCCACACUGGAACUGAGACACGGUCCAGACUCCUACGGGAGGCAGCAGUGGGGAAUAUUGGACAAUGGGCGCAAGCCUGAUCCAGCCAUACCGCGUGGGUGAAGAAGGCCUUCGGGUUGUAAAGCCCUUUUGUUGGGAAAGAAAAGCAGCAGGUUAAUACCCCGCUGUUCUGACGGUACCCAAAUAAUAAGCACCGGCUAACUUCGUG